UACGUAGGGGGCAAGCGUUGUCCGGAUUUAUUGGGCGUAAAGCGCGUGUAGGCGGCUUGGUAGGUCAGCUGUGAAAACUCGAGGCUCAACCUCGAGCUGUCGGUUGAAACCACCUUGCUAGAGUCCGGAAGAGGAGAGUGGAAUUCCCGGUGUAGCGGUGAAAUGCGCAGAUAUCGGGAAGAACACCCGUGGCGAAGGCGGCUCUCUGGGACGGUACUGACGCUGAGACGCGAAAGCGUGGGGAGCGAACAGG
rnacentral:rRNA from 1 species